rnacentral:rRNA from 1 species
UACGUAGGCAGCAAGCGUUGUUCGGAGUUACUGGGCGUAAAGGGUGUGUAGGCGGUCUUCUAAGUUUGGUGUGAAAUCUCCCGGCUCAACUGGGAGGGUGCGCCGAAAACUGGAAGGCUAGAGUGCGGGAUGGGAGAGUGGAAUGCCUGGUGUAGUGGUGAAAUGCGUAGAGAUCAGGCGGAACACCCGUGGCGAAGGCGGCCGGCUGGGCCGUCCCUGACGCUGAGGCGCGAAGGCGUGGGGAGCGAACGGG